rnacentral:tRNA from 1 species
AUGGUCAAUUUGGUAGAGCCGCCAGCUUCAGGUGCUGGUGACCGCAAGGUCGUGGAAGUUCGAGUCUUCUUCUGGGCACCA